UGUCAUGUCAUGUCAUGUCAUGUCAUGUCAUGUCAUGUCAUGUCAUGUCAUGUCAUGUCAUGUCAUGUCAUGUCAUGUCAUGUCAUUUCAUGUCAUGUCAUGUCAUGUCAUGUCAUGUCAUGUCAUGUCAUGUCAUGUCAUGUCAUGUCAUGUCAUGUCAUGUCAUGUCAUGUCA